rnacentral:ribozyme from 2 species
UCGGGUCGGCAUGGCAUCUCCACCUCCUCGCGGUCCGACCUGGGCAUCCGAAGGAGGACGCACGUCCACUCGGAUGGCUAAGGGAGAGCCACU